rnacentral:misc_RNA from 1 species
AACGCACAUUGCGCCCGCCAGUAUUCUGGCGGGCAUGCCUGUCCGAGCGUCAUUUCAACCCUCGAGCCCCUCCGGGGGGUCGGCGUUGGGGAUCGGCCCUCCCUCGCGGGGGCCGGCCCCGAAAUGCAGUGGCGGUCUCGCCGCAGCCUCUCCUGCGCAGUAGUUUGCACACUCGCACCGGGAGCGCGGCGCGCCCAAUGCCGUAAAACAACCCAACCUUCUGGAAUGUUGACCUCGGAUCAGGUAGGAAUACCCGCUGAACUUAA